UAGGGAAUCUUCGGCAAUGGGGGCAACCCUGACCGAGCAACGCCGCGUGAGUGAAGAAGGUUUUCGGAUCGUAAAGCUCUGUUGUAAGAGAAGAACGUGUGUGAGAGUGGAAAGUUCACACAGUGACGGUAACUUACCAGAAAGGGACGGCUAACUACGUGCCAGCAGCCGCGGUAAUACGUAGGUCCCGAGCGUUGUCCGGAUUUAUUGGGCGUAAAGCGAGCGCAGGCGGUUUAAUAAGUCUGAAGUUAAAGGCAGUGGCUUAACCAUUGUUCGCUUUGGAAACUGUUAAACUUGAGUGCAGAAGGGGAGAGUGGAAUUCCAUGUGUAGCGGUGAAAUGCGUAGAUAUAUGGAGGAACACCGGUGGCGAAAGCGGCUCUCUGGUCUGUAACUGACGCUGAGACUCGAAAGCGUGGGGAGCAAACAGG
rnacentral:rRNA from 1 species